CGAAGGGCCACAUCGAGCGUGCGAGGCUGCGAGCGAAGGGCCACAUCCAGCGAACGAAGGGGCCGAGCCAGCGUCCACCUACAACGUCGCAACCUCAGUCGCCUCCCCUUCUCCCACCUAAGGAACCCUAGCCGCCGCGGCCUCCUCCUCCUCCCAGGUCCCACCUCAGCCGCCUCCCACAUCCCCCCUCUCCCUCUCCCCCCGUCUUGUCUGCUCCGGGUGCGGAGGCGAGCUUCUCGGCGAUUGUGGCGCUGGCUCGAGGCGGGCACGCAGCCACUCCUUCUCUCCCUUCCACCGCCGCUCGUCGCAGCUCCGCCUCCCCGCCUAGCAGCGGCCAGAGAAGGGCUGCUCCGCCGCCCCGCCUCAUCUCCUCUUCCUCUCAUUCUGAGGGCGCCAGGAGCAUGGCCUCAAUCUGGAGCAGGAGAGGCCGGGAGUGAUAUGGGAGCAGCUCGGCUCCACCCCGAUGGUGACCGAUGCGCUCAGACUUGUGGCCCGGUCUCGCCGCCGCGCGCAGUCCACCUCUCCCCGCAGGCAUGCCGGCCACCUCCCCACCUGACGCACAUCUUCCCCAUGGGGCAAUGGAACACGGUGAGCAGCAGGUAGGAGCGUGCGGUGCUGAGAAGGCCGGCUCCGUCCUGCUCUUGUGCCACCGCCGACCCACCCGAGAAGCCCGUCCACACACCCGUCGGCUCCUCCUCAGCUCGUUCCCAUCUCUGGCAGGCAGGUGAGCUCCUGCUUCCUCUCCCUGUUUCCCUUUGAUUUUGUGCUGGCGUUGUACUGUGUGUUUAUGUUGUUGCUUUGUGAGAUAUGGCUACUACUUGUGCUGCUACAUGUGUGUGUUGCUGGUUCUGGUGCUGCAAAGCCUGGCUGCUGUUUGUCCUGACGCUUUGUGCUACUAGUUGCUGCUGGUUGCUUGUGUUGCUGGUAUGUGCUACACUGCUGCUACUUGCUGUUUGUUGCUUCCUUGUUUGGUUAUUUGUGAAACUGAAAUUCUUUGUGAAAAGAAAAUUUUGAAGAUAAGGCUAUAAGCUGAUGAGCUGACCUUCAUUUCCAUUUUUUAUUUAAUAAUUGAUGAAGGAUAUGUCAUAUAUUCAGUUGCUAACAUUUUCUCUCUAUGGUAUAAGAGAGGCUUCGGACGUGAAGGCAGUAGCACGCAGCGCCAGAUCGAGCGCACAUACCUUGACGACAAGAGACCAGUACACUUAACAAGCCCCAAAAUACUACUAUGUGAUUAGUUAAAUUCAGUGCUGUAGUGAUGCCUUUGUUCUUCAGUUAAAUUUUUUUAGUACGAGGAACCAGUAGUGUCCCCUCUGUUCUUCAGUUAAAUUCAGUUGAUACAUUAUGGUAUUUACAACAACUCCAUGUUAUCUUGUUUUGUGUUGCAGCGAGUUCCACGCAUUUUGAAGCUACGACCGCUAGAAACCAGUGAAGAAUGAAGAAAGGAGGAUCUACCAGCAGCUUCGAGUAGGAGGAUGAGAUCUUGAUGGAGUUCAUGUUUCAGCAACCGUAGUAGCGCAUCCUCUGACCUCGACCUAGUCCGCCGUGAUGGAAAACGUAAUAUUCCAACAAAAGUGCUUCCGGAUGCUACGAUGAGAUAGCGCUUGGCCUUCCAAGCGCAGCUAACUCAACACACAAGGCAAGGACCUCGAGGCAAGUGUUUAAUUCUAUCCAUUGAGUACCAGCUAAAUAAUGAACUUGCAAAGACAUUAAUAUCCAUCUAUGUCUAUGAAACUGCCCGAGGCUGAAGAUUGGCUGGCAGACGAACCUCUUAAAUACAUGGAAGUCUCUUACAACAAAGUGCUGCAAGACAUCAAUUAUGAUAAGUUGUAGUUGGUUGAACAAAAAGUAAUUCUCUGGAACACGAGCUGAAAGAAAAAGAUGGAAUCAUAGACUAUUUGAGGAGCAGCUGGUGGAUGAUGUCUAUGGAAGACAUUUCUGCUUUUGCCAAUCACAACCCGCCGCAACACACCCACCAUGAAGAGCAGCUUAGAUGAUGAGGUAAUUUUCGACACGCUGGUACAUGCUCUACGUAAUCUAAAUACUGCAUAUCUUAGUUACCAUAAGCUGGGUGAUCAAAGCUAUCUAUAUGAUGCACCUCUGCCUAUUAGCUAAUCUCAUCCCUUUCUUUUGGCCUAUGUUCUUAUUUGACAAAGCUGAAGGAAGCACGUCCAGAUUGGUACUCUGGAUGGUGAGGUUAGAUUAAUUGACCACAAUUUCUAUUGACUUUUCCUGUACACAAUGUUCACAAGUUCAUGUAUUAAGUACAUUUUAGCGUGUCACUUGUGUUUACUCCUUUUUUAAUGCAAGUUUACAGCUACUCGGAGUUCCUAA